AUUUCGAUCUGAACUUGAAGACUAUGAUGUCAAUAGACCUGACCGCUUAUUGAAAUCUGCUAUACCAAAGAUUUGUGGGUGUUGCGAAACAUUGGAAUGUCUUAAUAUUCCUUCAAGCUCACAAGAAACUCCUUGCGCUAAAGCGUCAGCAAUGCCGAUACUUGAAAAAUAUCUCGAUGAAAAUGAACCACCUAAAAAGAAACAAAUUGUGGAAGUGCAAGAAGCUAUCGUUUUACCUGUUUGUUCAUUAUUUAAAAAUAACAGAAAUAUAUUAAAACCAAUGUUAAAAAGGUUUAAAAUCAGAUGAUCAGAGAGAUAUAAAAUGGAAUUUGUCAGUAAUUUAUGUAAGUCAAAUUGUGAUAAUUACCAUGUAUUAAUGUAUCUAAGAAUGAGAUGUUUAUUUUGUAAUAACUAUUUAAGAAUCUUGACGUUCAUAAGUGUUACCGUGUGAC